rnacentral:rRNA from 1 species
UACGAAGGGGGCUAGCGUUGCUCGGAAUCACUGGGCGUAAAGGGCGCGUAGGCGGCGUUUUUAAGUCGGGGGUGAAAGCCUGUGGCUCAACCACAGAAUGGCCUUCGAUACUGGGACGCUUGAGUAUGGUAGAGGUUGGUGGAACUGCGAGUGUAGAGGUGAAAUUCGUAGAUAGUUCGCAAGAACACCGGUGGCGAAGGCGGCCAAACUGGACCAUUACUGACGCUGAGGCGCGAAAGCGUGGGGAGCAAACAGG